GUUUUAUACCCUCUCCCCCCAGUGUUUUCAAGGAGAAGCGAAUCCUUCAGAAGGUUACCAGCGCAGAGCACCCAUUCCUGGUUUCCUUAUACGCCACAUUCCAGAGUGAGAAUCACCUCUUUUUUGUAAUGGAAUAUCUUCCUGGAGGUGAUCUGUGCCAUCUGCUCGAGCAUCAAGGAGCAUUUGAGGAAUCAAAAGCCAUGUAAGUGGGAUGGGAUUAGGAUUUAGGGUUGAUCCAUGUGAAAUAUUGGGGUGUCUGACUGGCACACUGACAAUCACAUUCACAUAGGUAGCACUCACAUAUAUGUCCUGAAUCUAUCAAAUCACUUACUGAAUUAUUUUCCUCUUUAUGUAGGUUUUACACUGCCUCUAUAGUGCUCGGCCUGGAGGAAUUGCACCGGAACAAUAUUGUUCAUAGAGAUCUGAAACUGGAAAAUCUAAUGGUGGAUGUACAUGGCUAUCUGAAAAUCGUGGAUUUUGGCCUGAGCAAAGAUGAUUUCAGAUAUGGAGAUCGCAGUAAGACCCGGUGUGGAACAAACUGCUACAUGGCCCCAGAGAUCAUUGAUGAGAUGGCAUACAGCAGGGCCGUUGACUGGUGGGCCCUUGGGGUUGUGUUAUAUGUCAUGCUCAUGUUCCAGGUAAGCAUAAUGCCUAGAAAUCAGCUAUCACUGUCAUUAUAGUGAUAAAUGGGAUUUU